AGUGAACGCUGGCGGUAGGCCUAACACAUGCAAGUCGAACGGCAGCACAGUAAGAGCUUGCUCUUACGGGUGGCGAGUGGCGGACGGGUGAGGAAUACAUCCGAAUCUACUUUUUCGUGGGGGAUAACGUAGGGAAACUUACGCUAAUACCGCAUACGACCUACGGGUGAAAGCAGGGGUUCUUCGGACCUUGCGCGAUUGAAUGAGCCGAUGUCGGAUUAGCUAGUUGGCGGGGUAAAGGCCCACCAAGGCGACGAUCCGUAGCUGGUCUGAGAGGAUGAUCAGCCACACUGGAACUGAGACACGGUCCAGACUCCUACGGGAGGCAGCAGUGGGGAAUAUUGGACAAUGGGCGCAAGCCUGAUCCAGCCAUACCGCGUGGGUGAAGAAGGCCUUCGGGUUGUAAAGCCCUUUUGUUGGGAAAGAAAAGCAGCAGGUUAAUACCCCGCUGUUCUGACGGUACCCAAAGAAUAAGCACCGGCUAACUUCGUG
rnacentral:rRNA from 1 species